GUGGGGGUGGGGACAUAGCCCAGCGGUUAAGCAUCUCUGGGCUCAAUUUCUAGUUCAAAAAAAGGGGCAGAGAACAGUAUUGUAAAUCAGGAACUGGGUGGAGCAGAAGCAUAGAGACUUUCUCUAAAUAUUGCCUUAUUCUACACAUUUUAGUUGGGAACCAUGUGAAGUUCCAUUGUUAAUAAUAAAGCCAUACCUAAAAUAGAGAAACCGAAAUGACAGAGGGUGUAUCUAGGUGAACCACUGGGAAUAGAAAGUAUGAAUGGCCUACAACUUUAGCAUAUAAUUUCUAUUGUACAAAAAGAGAGAAAACAUAAAUAGUGGCUUUAUUGCUUGAAGUAAUAUUAGACAUUUUUAAACUAAUAUUUUAUGCACAAUGUAGGAUCAAACAAAGGCACUGUUAAUAUUAAGGAAGUAACAUUUUUAGUGCAAGGAGAAAAACGAUUCAAAGGUUAAAAAUGAAAAGAGCUGAAAAAAACUCAGAUUCAGAAUUCCAGCAUGAAUAAAAACACAGAGGGGCAGAGAGGGAAAUUCCAGAAGUGCACCUGGGUUAUCCUGCUGUGCCAGAUGGCAGGGAAGUCACCCCAGGCUGCCGGGAGGCGGCCCAAGCCCAGCUGGGAGGGUGUUCUGACCGCUCAGGCUCCAGUGAAUCCCUGCAAUUGAUGGAAACGCACCCGAAGAGAUAGACAGCCCCAGGGGGAAGAGCAAGCACGCAAAGGUCACUCUGGAGCAGGAAUGAAGCCUUUAUUUUGCCUUUCCAAUAGAAAGUGGGAUAGCCCUGAUCAGUGACAGCCCCACAGGGGGCUCAGUCCCCGGUACAGCGGAGGGGAGAGGGGAGUAUCAAGUGGGAUCAGGUCCGCCCUCUCCCAGAAAUCCUGCAGAAGUCGCAGAGCAACCCCCGCGGCACCUGCGUUGAAAGGAGCAGCCUCGGCAGUUGUCUGUCGUGCGCCGCGAAGGACGCAGGAUUUCAGGCGGAUCGCCGCGCGUCCCGAGGUCUACCCUGCACCGACGCCAGGGGGCGAUCUCACGAGCGCGGCUGUCGGGUGACCAGGUGACCCGUCACUGCGGCCGGUCAGUGCCCCUAACAAAGGGAGGAGACCUGGAGAUGACGAGGUGAAGGGAUCUGGACACUUGGGCGAGAACUCCUGGAGAACGCCUUGGAGAGUGUUUGCACUUGCUGGAAGAAAUCUCACGCUGAAAGAUAUUUUUGGUGAAAACCGUUGACAUUUGGAUUCUGAUCCUGCAUUAGAAGCGUUAUAAGUUAUUUUUCUUUUUUCAGGCACGAUAUUGACAUUGUGAAGACUUCGAUUUCUAGAGAUGCGUUAUUUUGGGUAUGUAGAAAAUUCUGCGUUGUAGGGUUUAUUUCCACAUUUUGUAUUUGUACUGUAUUUUUGUAUUUUUAGAAAAUUUCAAAAACUGAAAAAGGUCAGAAUAGAAACUACAAAAUACAGACAUCAAAUAUACGUCCAAGUGUAUAAUGUCUACAUACAGAGUUGGAUGAUAUCAAGAAUUGUCACUUUCACCAGGUUUGGAGGCACACACCUGUCAUCCCAGCAACUCAGGUGGCUGAGGCAAGAGGAUCUCAAGCUCAAGGCCAGCCUCAACAAUUUAGAGUUUUGACAGCUUUUAUUGAAAAGGAAAGCAAGGAACCAGGAGAUGGGUGAGCGUGGAAUGAAAGACGGAGACCAGGCAGAGCUACACAGGAGAGUUCAUUUGUCAGAGAUGACAUAUAAAGACCGUCUAACACCGGGGCUAACUGAAGUCUCCCUUGUUGCUCUCCGCUCAGAGACGGUGGUGCUCGCUCGCUCUCUUUCCCUGUGUGCUCCACCGAAGCCUCGCUUUGCUUUUACUUCACCUUCACCUAUAAUAAAGUCCUCUUGCCUGGC